rnacentral:rRNA from 1 species
GAUGAACGCUGGCGGCGUGCCUAAUACAUGCAAGUCGAGCGAACAGACGAGGAGCUUGCUCCUCUGACGUUAGCGGCGGACGGGUGAGUAACACGUGGAUAACCUACCUAUAAGACUGGGAUAACUUCGGGAAACCGGAGCUAAUACCGGAUAAUAUAUUGAACCGCAUGGUUCAAUAGUGAAAGACGGUUUUGCUGUCACUUAUAGAUGGAUCCGCGCCGCAUUAGCUAGUUGGUAAGGUAACGGCUUACCAAGGCAACGAUGCGUAGCCGACCUGAGAGGAGGAUCGGCCACACUGGAACAGAGACACGGACCAGACGAAUACGGGAGGCAGCAGUAGGGAGUCUUAAGAAAUGGGCGAAAGACUGAAGGAGCAACGAAGAGUGAGUGAUGAAGGUAUUCGGAACGUAAAAAUCUGUUAUUAGGGAAGAACAAAUGUGUAAGUAACUAUGCACGUCUAGACGGUACCUAAUCAGAAAGCCACGGCUAACUAAGUG